rnacentral:rRNA from 1 species
GACGAACGCUGGCGGCGUGCUUAACACAUGCAAGUCGAACGGAAAGGCCCUGCUUUUGUGGGGUGCUCGAGUGGCGAACGGGUGAGUAACACGUGAGUAACCUGCCCUUGACUUUGGGAUAACUUCAGGAAACUGGGGCUAAUACCGGAUAGGAGCUCCUGCUGCAUGGUGGGGGUUGGAAAGUUUCGGCGGUUGGGGAUGGACUCGCGGCUUAUCAGCUUGUUGGUGGGGUAGUGGCUUACCAAGGCUUUGACGGGUAGCCGGCCUGAGAGGGUGACCGGACACAUGGGGACUGAGAUACGGCCCAGAAUACUACGGGAGGCAGCAGGGGGGAAUAUUGCAAAAUGGGCGGAAGCCUGAUGAAGCAACGCCGCGUGCGGGAUGACGGCCUUCGGGUUGUAAACCGCUUUCGCCUGUGACGAAGAGUGAGUGACGGUAAUGGGUAAAGAAGCACCGGCUAACUACGUG